GAUCAUGGCUCAGGACGAACGCUGGCGGCGUGCUUAACACAUGCAAGUCGAACGGGAAUCCAAGAAAGAGCUUGCUCUUUCUUGGAUUCUAGUGGCAAACGGGUGAGUAACACGUAAACAACCUGCCUUCAGGAUGGGGACAACAGACGGAAACGACUGCUAAUACCGAAUACCUUCCAAUUUCCGCAUGGAGAUAGGAAGAAAGGGUGGCCUCUACUUGUAAGCUAUCGCCUGAAGAGGGGUUUGCGU
rnacentral:rRNA from 1 species